UACAGAGGGUGCGAGCGUUGUCCGGAAUCACUGGGCGUAAAGGGCGCGUAGGUGGUGGCUUAAGCGUGCGGUGAAAGCUCGGGGCUCAACUCCGAGUCGGCCGUGCGAACUGGGCUCACUGGAGCAUAGUAGAGGCAGGUGGAAUUCCGGGUGUAGCGGUGGAAUGCGUAGAGAUCCGGAAGAACACCGGUGGCGAAGGCGGCGACCUGGGUAGAUACUGACGCUGAGGUGCGAAAGCGUGGGGAGCAAACAGG
rnacentral:rRNA from 1 species